GAAGCUUUCUCCAAAGCUAGUGACGAUCGGGACAGAUACAAGGAUGAAAUACGGAAGCUGCAAUUGCAGAAAGCGUUGCUGGAAGGGAAGAUCCUAGAGUUACAAGUGCAAAAGAGAAAAACACUUGGAUCUCGGGAAUGACCCGGAUCCCAUCCUCCACCAGAUUCUAAAAUAUGCCGUUUUAAUUGACUUUUUUCUU